rnacentral:rRNA from 1 species
UUAAAAAGCUCGUAGUUGGAUCUCGGCGGGCAGGGGGUGGUUCGCUCUUCAGCGCUACUGCCCCGCUUUGCCCGUGUGAUUGGCGGAGGUUUCGGGGUGCUCUUCGUUGAGUGACUCGGAGCGCCGUCAGGUUUACUUUGAAAAAAUUAGAGUGCUCAAAGCAGGCUUUUCACGCUUGAAUAUUCGUGCAUGGAAUAAUGGAAUAGGAACUCGUUUCUAUUUUGUUGGUUUUCGGAAAUCGAGUUAAUGAUUAACAGGGACAAUUGGGGGCAUUAGUAUUCAGACGACAGAGGUGAAAUUCUUGGACCGUCUGAAGACUGACUACUGCGAAAGCAUUUGCCAAGAGUGUUUUCAUUAAUCAAGAACGAAAGUUAGAGGUUCGAAGGCGAUCAGAUACCGCCCUAGUUCUAACCAUAAACGAUGCCAGCUAGCGAUCUGCCGAGUUUUUUUUGUAGGCUCCGCAGGAAGCUUUCGGGAAACCAAAGCUUUUGGGUUCCGGGGGAAUGUAUGGUUGCAAAGCUGAAACUUAAAGGAAUUGAUGGAAGGGCACCACCAGGAGUGGAGCCUGCGGCUUAAUUUGACUCAACA